CACUCCCCAAACAUAAUUUUUGAUUACCCCGCUCAUUACUCCCUCUUUUUCUCAUAUCCAUCGAGCGCCCUAAAUGCUCCCAAAUAAAAGUUUGUACUUAAUUCUUUUUCCAUUUCCCAUUUUCCCUUUCAAUCAGAUCUUUCUGAGUAAGAAGAAGAAAAAUUAGUACUUUCUUUCCAUUGAAGAACUAGAAAUGAAACAGGAUUUCAAGGGAAAAUGUCAAGAGAAAAACUAAGAAGAGCCGCACUUCCUCCUGUUCAAGAGGUGUUCUUUUUUAUUUCUAUUGCUUUCAGUAUAUAUUUCUUAGAUUAUUUCUGUUGAUAAUAGUUGUAGGAGUUUGAGUGGUGAUUCUUUACAAGGUGUGGAGUUCACGUGGAUCGAUCAAUGCUGAAGAUUCCUGAGAUGGACAUUGAUUCUCAGAUGAUGAAGACUGCGAGUGGGGAAGAUUUCAAUAUGGAGGUUUCAGAGAUACAGGCUAGUGUGGUAAACGAGGUGAAUGAGUUGGGGGAGACUGCCUUGUUUACUGCUGCAAAGAAAGGGCAUCUUGAUGUUGUCAAGGAGUUGUUAAAAUACUCAAACAAAGAGACCGUUACUAAGAAGAACAAAUCUAGGUUUGAUCCAUUGCAUAUUGCUGCAAGCCAAGGGCACCAUGUGAGAAUGAUGCGGUGCCAUCCUUUUGAGGCAGAUGCGGCUAUUGUGAUGCUCCCGGACAAGUUCGGUAACACUGCACUGCAUGUCGCCACUAGGAAAAAGAGAGCAGAGGUGAUCAUUGAAAGGGAUUCAAGGACAGACCUCCCAGAUAUAGAGAAGAGUAGGCUUGCUGAGGCAGCUAGCAUUGCUGAACAGUCGCAUUAUUUAACACCAAAACCCAUAUUUUACGGGUUUUUCAAAGAAGAAAAAUGCUGAGAAUAGAUGGUCUCUGCAAAAAGAUGGGCUACAAGGAUGCCAAGUUACAGAUGCUUUACGGGCUCUGAUAUCCAAUGGCGUUGAAGCGGGGACUACCCAGUGUGGGCGUCCAAAGGAACAGAAGUUCUGGAUCUCGUUUGUGUAUCGUGAUUCUUUUUUUCUUCUCAAUUCUGAUGCUCAUUGCUUUGAGUUCAUUACAAGAUUUCCUUGAUUAAAUAAAUGUAUUAUUUCUUUUAUUACCAAGAUUUACUUGAUUAAGAAAAUGCAUUGUAUGUUUUAUUA